AUUGAACGCGGGCGGCAGGCCUAACACAUGCAAGUCGAACGCGAAAGUCCUUCGGGAUGAGUAGAGUGGCGGACGGGUGAGCAACGCGUAGGAAUCUGUCCGGUAGUGGGGGAUAACGUUCCGAAAGGAACGCUAAUACCGCAUACGCCCUAAGGGGGAAAGCGGGGGAUCUUCGGACCUCGCGCUAUCGGAGGAGCCUGCGUCGGAUUAGCUAGUUGGUAGGGUAAAGGCCUACCAAGGCGACGAUCCGUAGCUGGUCUGAGAGGAUGAUCAGCCACACCGGAACUGAGACACGGUCCGGACUCCUACGGGAGGCAGCAGUGGGGAAUAUUGCGCAAUGGGGGCAACCCUGACGCAGCCAUGCCGCGUGUGUGAAGAAGGCCUUCGGGUUGUAAAGCACUUUCAGAGGGGAGGAAAGGGCGCUGGCUAAUAUCCAGUGCAGUUGACGCUACCCUCAGAAGAAGCACCGGCUAAUUCCGUGCCAGCAGCCGCGGUAAUACGGAAGGUGCAAGCGUUAAUCGGAAUUACUGGGCGUAAAGCGCGCGUAGGCGGCUUGGUAAGUCGGAUGUGAAAGCCCCGGGCUCAACCUGGGAACUGCAUUCGAUACUGCUGAGCUGGAGUACGAGAGAGGGGGGUGGAAUUCCAGGUGUAGCGGUGAAAUGCGUAGAGAUCUGGAGGAACACCAGUGGCGAAGGCGGCCCCCUGGUUCGAUACUGACGCUGAGGUGCGAAAGCGUGGGGAGCAAACAGGAUUAGAUACCCUGGUAGUCCACGCCGUAAACGAUGUCUGCUAGCCGUGGGGAUCCUUGAGGUCUCGGUGGCGCAGCUAACGCGAUAAGCAGACCGCCUGGGGAGUACGGCCGCAAGGUUA
rnacentral:rRNA from 1 species